rnacentral:lncRNA from 1 species
GUGUUGUUUAUUCUUUAGUUUAAUAUGUUAUGGCAUGUGUACUAUUGUUUGUCUGUUUGUCUUUUUCAUUUUUAGCCAUGGUGUUGUCAGUUUAUUUUCAAUUUAAGAGUUUGACUGUCCCUCUGAUAUCUUUCUUCCCUCUUUUAAUACGUUUAUCAAAUCAUGUUUACAAUUUUCAAUUUCCAGUUUACAACAGAAGAAAGUCAAAUAAAUUACUACUAAUAACGUUUUUAAUAUUUGUU